AUUGGGGGGUGGUCCCACUCCUUUCCAGUGCUGCCCCACCUCUGCUCCCGCCCUUAUCUCCCAUGAGCUGGGCCAAACUGGGCUGAAGGGCAGAAGCUGGGGCCUGCCCAGCCUCCAGAAAGCUCCGAGGUGAAAGAAAGUGAGCCUAGUGGUGGAAGGCUUAGACUCCAGAACUGGUCAGAGCUGCGUGGGACUCCCAGCUGCCCCCACCCCUCUGUUUUGUGACCUCAGGCAGGCCAUACCCCCUCUGAUUCUCAGCCUCUUCACCUUUGGGAGGGGAUCACAACCAGACUUCGUCAUGGGAUUGCUGUGACUACCAAGUGGGGGCCCGCUCACGCCGCACACUUCAUUUCCUGCCUGUGCCCAGUCCUCUGUGAGUGCUCAGGAAACAGGGACUCACAGUUGGCUUGGCUCUGAUUCACGCUCCAGCAGGAGAGAGCAGCCCUCAAAUGCAGCAGAACGGUUCGAGGUCAGACAUCUGGAGGAACUUCCUUGACAGGCAAAACAUGGCACUGAGGAGUGUGUUCAAUAUCUACCAAGAAUAA